rnacentral:rRNA from 1 species
CGGAGGGGCUAGCGUUGUUCGGAAUUACUGGGCGUAAAGAGUGCGUAGGCGGUUUAGUAAGUUGGAAGUGAAAGCCCGAGGCUUAACCUCGGAAUUGCUUUCAAAACUACUAAUCUAGAGUGUAGUAGGGGAUGAUGGAAUUCCUAGUGUAGAGGUGAAAUUCUUAGAUAUUAGGAGGAACACCGGUGGCGAAGGCGGUCAUCUGGGCUACAACUGACGCUGAUGCACGAAAGCGUGGGGAGCAAACAGGAUU